CGUAGGGGGCUAGCGUUGUCCGGAUUUAUUGGGCGUAAAGAGCGCGUAGGCGGCUAGGUAAGUCCGACGUGAAAUCUGGAGGCUCAACCUCCAGCGGUCGUUGGAAACUACUUGGCUAGAGUCCGGAAGAGGAGAGUGGAAUUCCUGGUGUAGCGGUGAAAUGCGCAGAUAUCAGGAAGAACACCGAUGGCGAAGGCAGCUCUCUGGGACGGUACUGACGCUGAGGCGCGAAAGCGUGGGGAGCAAACAGGAUUAGAUACCCUGGUAGUCCACGCCGUAAACGAUGGGUGCUAGGUGUGAGCGGUGUCGACUCCGCUCGUGCCGAAGCUAACGCAUUAAGCACCCCGCCUGGGGAGUACGGCCGCAAGGCUA
rnacentral:rRNA from 1 species